rnacentral:lncRNA from 1 species
UCUAAUCUUGGUAAUUGCAUUCAUUGAGAAUAAACAAUAUAUUAGUACCAUAAAUAUGUGAAGCUGUCUAGUAGUACAUAGUAUAGAGACUUACAUCCUCUGCGAUAGUCCUGUACAUCCCAUUAACCCUAACAAAUUCACAUACGUAAUACACCCAAAGGACAGUUCCUCUAGGUUGCUUGUGUGUCAUGCCUAGAAAUUCCUCACAUGAAUUUCUGAACUUAAUUGUGUAUUAAAAUCCCUGUCCAGGACCAGACAGGGUACACAAAAAGACAAUGUUAAUUACAUAACCAUCGUUCUUAGAAACAACUAAAAAUAGCACUUAGUCUAACGAAAGAUGCAGCGGAAAGAAAGGUAGACUAGCUCCCGCGGGUACGGCUCCAGUCCACAGGCAAAGCUUCGACGGCAGACCAGCUCACUCUUGAGAGUCACCUCCAUCGAAUUCCACUUCUAACUCU